GGAAUGUAAUUCUAACAAACCUUGAGAGGGGUGAGUGUACUUUAUUCAUUUUAAUUUGCACGAAAGACCUCUCUCUCACUAGUCACUGCUCAUCCCCUCACCCUCUUUCUCUCCCUACCCUAGGUCAAGCCGUCAAGCACACACACGCACCAGUGCACCGCCGGCCACCACCAGUCCACCACCACGCCUCUGCCUCUCUAUCUCGGCUUCUCCAGUUCUCCUUCUCUUAGACCCAAGGCCAGACCCACGCGGCCACGCCACUGCACGAAUUUGCUAUACAUUCGCUGGUCUUCUCUUCUCAGAUGCUCUUCGCAAAUUUGCUAUCAUCUCUCUCGCUCUCUGCAUUUUCUCGGAAUAGGGUAGAUUUUCUUGCUCAUGAGUUUUAUUCUGGGUAAUCAUUGAUUUGAAGGCCUAUAAGAAGAGGGGAGGAAACAAAGGCAGACAUGUUCACUCAUCACCAUAUUCUGGGUCUGGUCAAUGUGUUACAAAUGGCUAGGAAUUCUUACUGCACUUCCAGAAUGUGAUCAAAGAACACUAAAGCAACAAGGGGCAGCGAAGACAGUGUGGUUAGCAAUAGCUUUUGGUCCUUGUGGUUACACUGGAAUGAUAUCCUCUUCAAGAAUGAUCAAAAGGAGGAAGGGAGAGUGGUAGAGAUAGCCCAAUUAAGAACUUGGAACUGGUUAAGGGUCAGGAACAACAGCUUUACAUACUCACUAUAUGAAUGGCUCACACAACCAAGAAUCUGUUUGGAGAAUAUCUGAUCAUGAUGAGGCGCAGGUUGGCUAAGGCAUCGUGUGGUAAAUCGUAGGCUCCCUAGAGGCAUUGGAAAGCUGAACUAAUCUGAUUUGAAUUGUGUACUGUUAUGAAUUGUGCCUAGUAUUGUCGAAUUGGUAGUUAUCUUGUAAGGGUUGAAUUUUUGUGUAAGGAUUAUCUGGGGCAACACAGAAUUGCAUAGCCCUGUUUUCUUCACAGAUAUUUGUGGUUUUGUUGUAAGUUGGUUUGGGGUACGCCUAAUACUCCCAUAUUAAUAUACCUUCUUUUUGUUGAUAAAAAAAAAAUCAAGCAACAUAGAUAGAUGUGUGACUCAAUAUUGUCCCUUGCUCAA